GGCGGCGUGCCUAAUACAUGCAAGUCGAACGAACUCUGGUAUUGAUUGGUGCUUGCAUCAUGAUUUACAUUUGAGUGAGUGGCGAACUGGUGAGUAACACGUGGGAAACCUGCCCAGAAGCGGGGGAUAACACCUGGAAACAGAUGCUAAUACCGCAUAACAACUUGGACCGCAUGGUCCGAGUUUGAAAGAUGGCUUCGGCUAUCACUUUUGGAUGGUCCCGCGGCGUAUUAGCUAGAUGGUGGGGUAACGGCUCACCAUGGCAAUGAUACGUAGCCGACCUGAGAGGGUAAUCGGCCACAUUGGGACUGAGACACGGCCCAAACUCCUACGGGAGGCAGCAGUAGGGAAUCUUCCACAAUGGACGAAAGUCUGAUGGAACAACCCCCCGUGAGUGAAGAAGGGUUUCGGCUCGUAAAACUCUGUUGUUAAAGAAGAACAUAUCUGAGAGUAACUGUUCAGGUAUUGACGGUAUUUAACCAGAAAGCCACGGCUAACUACGUGCCAGCAGCCGCGGUAAUACGUAGGUGGCAAGCGUUGUCCGGAUUUAUUGGGCGUAAAGCGAGCGCAGGCGGUUUUUUAAGUCUGAUGUGAAAGCCUUCGGCUCAACCGAAGAAGUGCAUCGGAAACUGGGAAACUUGAGUGCAGAAGAGGACAGUGGAACUCCAUGUGUAGCGGUGAAAUGCGUAGAUAUAUGGAAGAACACCAGUGGCGAAGGCGGCUGUCUGGUCUGUAACUGACGCUGAGGCUCGAAAGUAUGGGUAGCAAACAGGAUUAGAUACCCUGGUAGUCCAUACCGUAAACGAUGAAUGCUAAGUGUUGGAGGGUUUCCGCCCUUCAGUGCUGCAGCUAACGCAUUAAGCAUUCCGCCUGGGGAGUACGGCCGCAAGGCUGAAACUCAAAGGAAUUGACGGGGGCCCGCACAAGCGGUGGAGCAUGUGGUUUAAUUCGAAGCUACGCGAAGAACCUUACCAGGUCUUGACAUACUAUGCAAAUCUAAGAGAUUAGACGUUCCCUUCGGGGACAUGGAUACAGGUGGCGCAUGGUUGUCGUCAGCUCGUGUCGUGAGAUGUUGGGUUAAGUCCCGCAACGAGCGCAACCCUUAUUAUCAGUUGCCAGCAUUAAGUUGGGCACUCUGGUGAGACUGCCGGUGACAAACCGGAGGAAGGUGGGGAUGACGUCAAAUCAUCAUGCCCCUUAUGACCUGGGCUACACACGUGCUACAAUGGAUGGUACAACGAGUUGCGAACUCGCGAGAGUAAGCUAAUCUCUUAAAGCCAUUCUCAGUUCGGAUUGUAGGCUGCAACUCGCCUACAUGAAGUCGGAAUCGCUAGUAAUCGCGGAUCAGCAUGCCGCGGUGAAUACGUUCCCGGGCCUUGUACACACCGCCCGUCACACCAUGAGAGUUUGUGU
rnacentral:rRNA from 1 species